AUUGAACGCUGGCGGCAGGCUUAACACAUGCAAGUCGAGCGGGGGAAGGUAGCUUGCUACCGGACCUAGCGGCGGACGGGUGAGUAAUGCUUAGGAAUCUGCCUAUUAGUGGGGGACAACAUCUCGAAAGGGAUGCUAAUACCGCAUACGUCCUACGGGAGAAAGCAGGGGAUCUUCGGACCUUGCGCUAAUAGAUGAGCCUAAGUCGGAUUAGCUAGUUGGUGGGUAAAGGCCUACCAAGGCGACGAUCUGUAGCGGGUCGGAGAGGAUGAUCCGCCAACCUGGGACUGGGACACGGCCCAGACUCCUACGGGAGGCAGCAGUGGGGAAUAUUGGACAAUGGGGGGAACCCUGAUCCAGCCAUGCCGCGUGUGUGAAGAAGGCCUUAUGGUUGUAAAGCACUUUAAGCGAGGAGGAGGCUACUCUAGUUAAUACCUAGGGAUAGUGGACGUUACUCGCAGAAUAAGCACCGGCUAACUCUGUGCCAGCCGCCGCGGUAA
rnacentral:rRNA from 1 species